GGGGAGCUUGCACAGGUGCUGCAUGGCUGUCGUCAGCUCGUGUCGUGAGAUGUUCGGUUAAGUCCGCUAACGAGCGCAACCCUCGCUGUGUGUUAUAUGUGUCACACGGGACUGCCGGGUCUUAAGCCGGAGGAAGGUGGGGAUGAUGUCAAGUCAGCAUGGCCUUUAUAUCCUGGGCUACACACACGCUACAAUGGCCAACACAAUAGGUUGCUAAGCCGCGAGGCGGAGCCAAUCCAGCAAAACUUCCCUCAGUUCAGAUUGCAGGCUGCAACUCGCCUGCAUGAAGUUGGAGUUGCUAGUAAACGCAGGUCAGCCAUACUGCGUUGAAUACGUUCCCGGGGCUU
rnacentral:rRNA from 1 species